UGCUUUCCAGCUCCGUUCUCCUGGGCAGGGCAACCAAAGGAGACCCAGCCGAUCAGCUGGGACUCCAUGGGAGGCAGAGAAUAGAUGGGGUUGGUGGGUCCAGUCCGAGGUGGGAUUGGCCGCUUCUCCCAACUUCUCAAAAGUAUCCGCUUCCGGUUCUCCGGAACCGGCUGAAUCCCACCUCUGCCUUCCUCGCCCGCGUCCAUUUCCUCCUCCUGAUUCCUCCCUUGUGGCUUCACCUCCUUUCAGCCCCACGGAGCGCGAGCGGACGGAGCGGCUGAUCAAGACCAAACUGAGAGAGAUCAUGAUGCAGAAGGAUCUGGAGAACAUCACGUCCAAGGAGAUCCGCACGGAGCUGGAGAUGCAGAUGGCAUGCAACCUGCGUGAAUUUAAGGAAUUCAUUGACAACGAAAUGAUCGUCAUUCUGGGCCAGAUGGACAGCCCCACGCAGAUCUUCGACCACGUCUUCCUGGGUUCGGAAUGGAACGCCUCCAAUUUGGAAGAUUUGCAAACCAGAGGGUGAGUCGGCC